GUCAGGAUGCUUUUCACCUUAAUAACAUAUGUCGAUGUGAUUUUCUACAGAAAAUUGCUGGUGGUAUAUUUAAACUCCUCUGAAACAAGAAAACAUAUCUAUACAAAUACAUGUUCCUAGUCACCCUGGUUUGCUAAAAAAAGGUUGAACUUGUGCCUUUUUGGCAAAAACAAACAAAAGAAACAAAAAGUGUCCUUGUCCGAAAUGUGUCCUUGUUGCCUUGGGCCAAAUGUUCUUUAGAGUGGCACUGGCAAAGUAUGCACUUGGUCAAUGCUUGUAUUCCUGCUAAUUGUGUCCUAAGAUUUUAAAAGUUGUCAUCCUUGCAUUUACAAUGUUCUAUAUUUUUAGGAACUGUCAGAACCAAUAGACUGACAGCUACGGCCACCGAUCAAGAAAUUGAAACAUUUAUUAAAAAAUGGCUUCAUCUGUCAAGUGACCGAGACGGAGGGAGAAGAGAAAGCAAGAAACGAAGGAGGUCCCAAGACACCUGCUUGCAAGAUUGCCAGAUGGGCCCAGUCAAGGAGGUCGACUUCUUUAAUUUUGGGUGGCUCUGGAUGUGACCAACUGGAAACAUGUUUUGUUUUUUGUUUAGCUCUAAGAUGCUUUAUAUGCACAUAUUUUGUGUUUGUUUAUUAUUACUAUUUUUUUGAUUGCUUUCCAGUUUUGAAAAUUGAAACUUGCACUUGGUUGUUCUUUGACAAUAUUAAUAAAUAAUGCAAAUGUUUUCAGAAAUGUGUUUAAAUCAUCUGUUGUAACUUCUCUUAACAUAGAAAGGGGGCAUUUUUAAAUUUCUCUUUAGUGUAUAUUUUUCUUAGUGUCAGUCACAGCAUGCAAAAACAAAAACACACAGUUAUAGUCUAUUUAUGUAAUUCUUGACACACAUGUGGCUGAACAAAUUUCCUGCUUGUGGACCAGAUCUGGCAAACAGGAUUGCAACUGUGGUCAGCUGUGUAUUUGGUUUGUGUUUUGGUUACAUGUGGCAUUGCUAUGGCUUAAUUGUGGCUCUAAUCUGGCAAACUGGAGGGGACUGCCUUAAGUGCAUUAAUUUUCAUCUGGCCCACAUACCGCAUGUGUAAUGAUGGCACUUGAAUGGUUCGUUCUUGUUUGCCAGAUUUGGGCCACAAUUAGCCCAAAGCAAUGCUGGAUGCCAGCCAUAAACAAAACAAAUUAAGCAGAAUUGGCCCCCAUCUGGCCCAGACACCACAAUUGCUGUGGCCCAGAUCCGGCCCACAAUUGACACUUUCAUCUGGCCCACCUACCAUGUGGAAUGGCACUUGGGUGGCCCGCUCCUGUUUGCAAGAUUUGGGUCACAAUUAAGCCAUAAAAAAAAAAAA